rnacentral:misc_RNA from 1 species
GAUGAAGAACGUAGCGAAAUGCGAUAAGUAGUGUGAAUUGCAUAAUUCAGUGAAUCAUCGAAUCUUUGAACGCACAUUGCGCCCCUUGGUAUCCCGAGGGGCAUGCCUGUUCGAGCGUCAUUUCACCACUCAAGCCUGGCUUGGUGUUGGGCGACGUCCUCUUUGGGGACGCGCCUCGAAACGCUCGGCGGCGUGGCACCGGCUUUAAGCGUAGCAGAAUCUUUCGCUUUGGAAGUCGGGGCCCCGUCUGCCGGAAGACCUGCUCGCAAGGUUGACCUCGGAUCAGGCAGGGAUACCCGCUGAACUUAAGCAUAUCAAUAAGCGGAGGA